rnacentral:rRNA from 1 species
GUAGGUUGCAAGCGUUGUCCGGAUUUACUGGGUGUAAAGGGCGUGUAGGCGGAUAUGCAAGUNGGAAGUGAAAUCCAUGGGCUCAACCNNUGAACUGCUNUNNAAACUGUUUNCCUUGAGUAUCGUAGAGGNAAGCGGAAUNCCUAGUGUAGCGGUGAAAUGCGUAGAUAUUAGGAGGAACACCAGUGGCGAAGGCGGCUUGCUGGACUACUAACUGACGCUGAGGCGCGAAAGCGUGGGNAGCAAACAGGAUUAGAUACCCUGGUAGUCCANGCUGUAAACGAUGAUUACUAGGUGUGGGAGGACUGACCCCUUCCGUGCCGCAGUUAACACAAUAAGUAUUCCACCUGGGGAGU